AACGCACAUUGCGCCCGCCGGUAUUCUAGCGGGCAUGCCUGUUCGAGCGUCAUUUCAACCCUCAAGCGCUGCUUGGUGUUGGGGUUCUACAACGGAUAGGCCCUGAAAAUUAGUGGCAGGCUCGCCAGUACCCCGAGCGUAGUAAAAUUCUCGCCCAGGGCGUACAGCGGGGUUUGGCCGUUAAACAGUACCCAUAAUCGAAAAGUUGACCUCGGAUCAGGUAGGAAUACCCGCUGAACUUAA
rnacentral:misc_RNA from 1 species